UUGGCUAUUUGGCUUAUGAACACCCUCUAAACCUUGACAUUUCUUCCCUCAUCAUUCGUGAUCAUUUCCACUCGAAACUCCGCCUCCUCCGUCAAAUCUCUCCCGAUCCCUAGUCGCCGCGUCUGUACCUAUGGAUUGUUGGGGUAUUGAAGUCAUGCCUGAAAUUAGCCAUAUGGUUUCUCUUGCUAAAGAACAAACCAUCCACAUUUCACAGCUGCUUGCAGAGGCUGCAAAGCAAAUAUUUGGGUCCCUGAAGAGAGAAAAUGAUAUUUGGUCAAUGGAGAAGUUGAUGCCCUGAAACAAUCGUUACUGAAAGCAGCAAUGAGAUUCCAGACUGGGCAAAAGUCUUGGAACCUGCAAGAAAGCUACCCACAAAUGUCAGGGAAAUGUGUCUAUGAGGCGUUGGAUAAAGGUUUGCCGGAGUGGGCGAAGAAGAUGUUGCGGCAUUCUAUUAGUAAGGAAGUAUACAAGGGCAAUGCAUCAGGGCCUACAAAGAAAGCUGUUGUUUCAGUGCUGACACAUGUGGCUGACGAAGUUUCACAAAGGAAACCCGUGGUAGUAAGAAAGGAAAGGCGUGUCAGAACUGGUAUUGUCAUGAAACAGUGUCGUUGUGUUUUGUGCCGUACUAUUCUUGAAGAUGAGGCAAAAACUGCAAUUUGCUUGGAACAACCUCACUAAACCCUAAUGCUAAUGGGGAUGGCAUUCUUGGAUAUCAUGCAACGGUAUCUCAUGCAUUGGAUUUUAGAACUAUUGAUAGGUUAGCAGUACGCACUUACUUACGAGGCUUUUCUGGAGGAUGUACAUGAGGUUAGCAGUACGCACUUACUUACGAAGUUUUUCUGGAGGAUGUACAUGAGUUUGCUUUAUCAGGUUUGGCCCAACAUACGCACUGCUUAUUAGGACCGGCCAGAUUUGAUGCUUUUAGCUGAUCAAUUAUCUGGAAAUUUUGAAUUGCUGUAUGAAAAAGAGGUGCUUGAUCUUGUACAGAAAAUUAAGGAGCAUGCUGAUCCCCAAUGCUUAAGCACCGCACAAAGGAAGGAAAUAGAUGAGUUUCUGUGUGGCAAGGAGAUCCCUAAAGCUCCUUGGGACCAUGGUGUCUGCAGACUCUGUGGCAUUGACAGAAGUGAUGGAACUGUGUUUCUUUGUGAUCAUUACGAUUCCGAGUAUCAUACUUACUGCUUGAUACCUCCACUUCAUAAGAUUCCCAUUGGGAACUGGUAUCACCCACGUGUAUUGAGAUUGGUGAAGUAAAGGCACCAUCCAGUACUAACGUCAUUCAUCACCGCAGACGGAAGAGAUAUCAAGGUGAAGGAACUCGUAUUUUAUCGGAGAAACUGAACAAGUUAGCUGGUGUUAUAGAAGAAAAAGAGUAUUGGGACUGUAGCCUGGAGGAGAGGGUCUUCUUGCUGAAGUUUUUCAGCGACAAGGUGUUGAACUCAGCCAUUGUUCCUGAACACCUUGAUCAGUGUGCCGAAAUGUCGGCUGAUGUGCAGCAGAAACUGCGUCAUUCUUCUAUAGAAUUAAGAAACCUAAAGUAUGAAGAAGAAGUCCUCACGAAAGAAAGCAAAGUCAUGCUUAAGGGAGUUGGUGAAGCUGGAAAAGAUGCAAUAGCCAGUAUGCUUCUGAACCUUAGCAGGGGUAGCGGUCAACACCAAACUUUAAAUAAUAGUUACAACUUUCUGCACACCCUUCUCUGGUAUGAUUCAGCUUGGUGAUGUUGCCGAGGAAAAUGAUUCCAACAAUGUGAACAAUAAUUGGUCAUUUGGGAAGAGCAAUUCUGGGGAUCAUUGUAAUGGAAGUAGAAACCUAAGUGUGUUGGCUGCAGAUAGUGAUGGUCAAAAGACAGAUGGUCUUUCAGUUCUGGAUGGCAAUCACGUACUUGAAAGUCUUUCCCCAGAUAAGGCUUCUAAAAGUAGCGAAUCAAACAAAAACAGUGAGGUACAGCUACCAGCUCUCCAGCAAAAACAAGUAGGUGACUUGGUAGGGAAACCACUGAUUGUGUGCAGCCCAUGUUUGAAGUUCUAAACGAACCACGAGCUUACGACCUUGAGGUGGACUCACUCAAGAAUGAGAUUUCAAGUAUGGAAAACUCAAUCGGAGGCUUAGAAUCACAGCUUCUUAAGCUAUCUAUGUGUAGGGACGAUGAAGCCAGAAACCUCUGAUAUUAUCCCAAAGAGGCGGGUUAGGAGAGAGAUGAGAUCCUAUUCUUAAUGGCUGCCAAGUCUCUGGGUUGAGGUCUUUUGAUGGUGGAAACGGUGGAACUUCUCUUGCAACAAAAGCUUUAGCAAUAUGGAAACGAUGAACCCAGAAACCUCUGAUAUCAUCCCAAAGAGGCGGGUUAGGAAGUUGAAACAACUUAUGAUGGUAAAAUAUAUAGGCGUGAAUGCCUCAACUUAGAACUCGAGGGGCAUAAUGAUGGGAAGUGCAACUCAUUGUCACCAGCCAAUGAUGAAGGCGAGGAGACUGAUGAUCACUCCAAAGGGAAAGGGAAAGUAAGCAUCACCAAUGAUCACUCCAAAGGGAAAGGGAAAGCAGAAUUGAGGCAUCGAAGAGUGGAAAAUUGGACACUAGUUCUAGAGUGAUUAAAUUUUAAAAGAAGGAAAUGGUUUGUCCAUAUAACCUGGAGGAGAUUGAAUAAAGCUCAUCACCAAUGAUUCCAACAAGGAAUUAGUGAAAGGAAUAUGACUUAUUGGUUCAGACGGGAUUCAUUCCCUUGUCCCAUCCACAUAUCUGUAUCUCCAUGAUCCAACACUAAUUUUGAACAUUGAGCGGCAGAGAGAAGCUGAAAAUGGUACUAGGUGUAACGCUCUGGAGGUGGUGGUAUCUCAAAAGAAAAAAAAGACUGUAUCAGUUGAUAAAAAUCCCACAGACUCUGCAAAAAGAAGUGCUAAGAACGUUCUCAAAGAGGAACAAUCAGAGCCAAGGUAUCAGUUUCAGAAAGUUCAAACAAGGAAGAUUCAGAAUCUUCAAAGAAGAAUACUCCAGCACCUAAGGGUCUCUGCUAUGUAGUGCCCAAACGUUCAUUGAGGCCUGUGGUGGGAAAGGUUACUCCAAUUUUGAGGCGGCUCAAGAGUAACUUACUCGAUAUGGUUGCUGCUCUUCCUGAAGAAGCUCUGAGGCCACUAAAGUCUGGCCCAUUGAAAAGAUCUGCCUUGCGUGCAUUUGUUAAAUCUGCAGAGUCAAUAUUUGAGAUGAUUCAAGCAACAAUCAUGCAAGACAAAGUACUUGAAAAAUAGUUGGUACUAUUGGUCAUCGCUUUCAGCUGCUGCAAAAACUUCCCAAUUUCAUCUUUAGCCCUUCGCAUAUACACACCUGAUGCUCAUUUACGAGAAGAGUUCUCCACCAGAUUUAUGUAGUUACAUCUUUUCUGAUGACUACACCCAAGUAAAUCUAAAGGCUAUAAACUACUAAAACAUUCAAGAUUCAAGAUGAACAAGAUGUAAAGAGCAUGGAAAGUAAAGAUUAACACAAGCAUUUAACGUGGUUCGGCCAUGAAGACCUACAUCCACGCGAAAAAAUGUUUUCUUAUUGGUUAAAAGGUCUUAUCCUUGAAAGAGUUACAAAUAUCACUUAGAUUUCUUUCUCUCUCUAUCUAGAUCUCUCUCAGGAAUUCUCUGUAGAAAGACCAUCUAUUGUUGUAUAAGUUGUCCAUCUCCUUCUACAUGGACUGGUAUUUAUAGGCAGAUUAGACUCGUGAAGGCCUGGUCUCGCCGAGCUGGAGGGGCUAUCGUAUAUCGCCUUCGUUGCUUCGGACGGGUUCUAUACUAUCCCUCGUGAUGGCUUGCUUGGUUCUCCUUUUGAGUUGUCUCGCUCUGCUCGUCAUCGUAUAGCUCUUCCUUAGAGAACCUCGUGUUGUAUCACCUCUGGGUCGUAGUAUAGAUCGCCCGAUCCUUUCUUUACGAUAUAGAUCCGCUCUCAUCUCUUCUUAUCCUUCAUUAAAUGCAGUCUUUCUUUUUAGACUUGACCGUCUGAGCAUAUUAGACUACUCCUUACACGAGUCGUUCAUGCGAUGUUGUAACAGGCGUCUCGAUUCAGACAAACUCACCUUUUUGGAGUAUCAUUCGAUGCUUUUAUCUCAUCAUUCUAUCAUGGAUUCAUCCCUUGGGAUGUUAACACGUGGCCAUCGGGUAAUCUACCCUCACAUUUUGCUCCUUUUCUUUGCAACUUGCCAAGGACAUGAUGGGAAGAAAACUUUGUAACCGUCUCGUCUUUAUCGCCACGUCCGAGAUUUCCGCCACGUCUGCACUUUUAAUGCGCUUUUACCUGUUGGACUUGAGGCGCCGGUUGGUUGUCCAUUAGUUUCUUAUAUAAUCUUUUGGGAGAAGAGAAUGAUGUCUUUAUUAUCUAUUUUCAGAGUUCAGAAUUUUUUCAUUCUUUCUUUCUUCUGUCUUUUGCUGUUCCUUCUCAACUUCUUGUCUCCUAUAAAGAAGUUCAUUAUGUCUGGGAGAAACUCUCCAUGUCGACACCUAAGACGAUAUGGUUCUUCUUCUUUGUUUUUCUUUUUGUUUUCU